GGCCCGGUGGUCAAGCGGUCAAGACACCGCCCUUUCACGGCGGCAACACGGGUUCGAUUCCCGUCCGGGUCACCA
rnacentral:tRNA from 1 species